GAUGAACGCUGGCGGCGUGCCUAAUACAUGCAAGUCGAGCGAACAGACGAGGAGCUUGCUCCUCUGACGUUAGCGGCGGACGGGUGAGUAACACGUGGAUAACCUACCUAUAAGACUGGGAUAACUUCGGGAAACCGGAGCUAAUACCGGAUAAUAUAUUGAACCGCAUGGUUCAAUAGUGAAAGACGGUUUUGCUGUCACUUAUAGAUGGAUCCGCGCCGCAUUAGCUAGUUGGUAAGGUAACGGCUUACCAAGGCAACGAUGCGUAGCCGACCUGAGAGGGUGAUCGGCCACACUGGAACUGAGACACGGUCCAGACUCCUACGGGAGGCAGCAGUAGGGAAUCUUCCGCAAUGGGCGAAAGCCUGACGGAGCAACGCCGCGUGAGUGAUGAAGGUCUUCGGAUCCUAAAACUCUGUUAUUAGGGAAGAACAAAUGUGUAAGUAACUAUGCGCGUCUUGACGGUACCUAAUCAGAAAGCCACGGCUAACUACGUG
rnacentral:rRNA from 1 species